rnacentral:rRNA from 1 species
AUUGAACGCUGGCGGCAGGCUUAACACAUGCAAGUCGAGCGGGGAAGGUUGCUUCGGUAACUGACCUAGCGGCGGACGGGUGAGUAAUGCUUAGGAAUCUGCCUAUUAGUGGGGGACAACGUUCCGAAAGGAACGCUAAUACCGCAUACGCCCUACGGGGGGAAAGCAGGGGAUCUUCGGACCUUGCGCUAAUAGAUGAGCCUAAGUCGGAUUAGCUAGUUGGUGGGGUAAAGGCCUACCAAGGCGACGAUCUGUAGCGGGUCUGAGAGGAUGAUCCGCACACUGGGACUGAGACACGGCCCAGACUCCUACGGGAGCAGCAGUGGGAAUAUUGGACAAUGGGGAAGCCUGAUCCAGCCAUGCCGCGUGUGUGAAGAAGGCCUUUUGG